rnacentral:rRNA from 1 species
UACGGAGGGAGCAAGCGUUACUCGGAAUUAUUGGGCGUAAAAGGGGCGCGUAGGCGAUCUGACAAGUCUGGUGUGAAAAGCCCCACAUGUUAACUGUGGGAAAGUGCAUUUAGAAAAACUGUUUGGAUUUUUGAGUUCAGGGAGAGGGAAAGGGCAGAAAUUUCCCCCGGGUGUAGAGGGUGAAAAAAAUUUCGUAGAUAUCGGGG